CCUUCACCCGGCCGCCGCCUCCUCCGUCCCGGUCUCCGCCGCCGCCCCGGGACCCUCGGCCACGGCUCCCCGGGAAUCGGCUCCCCGCCCCGGGGCUCCCCGCACAAAAGCCGGCGGCCCCUGGGGCCGAACGAGGGGGCGCGCGGUCGAGGCCGGGGCUGGGGAGCCAGCGUGGGGAGCCGUGGGCCCGGAGGAGCGCGGGGCGGGGGCACGCGGGGGAAGGUCCGGCCCCCGGGACCCUCUGAUGGGUUUCCACUCCAGUGAAGGCGCGGGGCGGGCGCGAAGGGGGAGGUGGCGUGCGUCCCUGGCAGGAGGCUGCGAGACCCCAGCUUAACCUUUUAAACUUUUUGCUGGUACCGCACCCCACCGCCUCCUUAGAGUAGGUGGGCGCCGCCCCCGCCCCGACUCCCACCUCCUGGCAGGUAUCCCCGCACACGCCCCCUCGCGCACCCACCCCCUGGUAGGUCCAACCGCCCCGCCUCGUCCCCGCUUUGGCAUCCUCUCCACACAGUCGCUUUCAUCUCGCUCAGCAGAAGCACUCCCCAGUUUCGCGGAGGGCAUGCCCUUAGUGCUUUAGGGGCCUGUAGUUUUAAAGACUCGACAAAUUAGGAAUUUGACCCAGGCCCGCUUCUCCCCGCCCCGGCCCACCUUCUGUUUACUUUGGCCACGUGGGCUGGGAAGAAGGAUUCACGCAGAUCCGAGAGGGCUUUCGCACCAGUGACUCUCCACUUCGCGCUGGAUUCGGUUAAAGACCAGCACUAUUUCCACACAGAAAAAUCCUUGCUUCCUUACCAGAGGAAAAAAAACUAAUAGAACAAGUCCCACAACAUGCUAUUCUGUGUUAGAAAAUUGACUUGAUUGGGCUGGGUACCUGCUGUCUAACUCAAUUGCUCGGUCUCUAAGCCUCAUAGGGUGGAGGCAGCUUCCUGUCUGCUUUGUCCUUUAAAGAGCUGACAACAGGGCUUUCCUGGUGGCGCAGUGGUUAAGAAUCCGCCUGCCAAUGCUGGGGACAUGGGUUCGAGUCCUUGUGCAGGAAGAUCCCACAUGCUGCGGAGCAACUAAGCCCAUGCGCCACAACUACUGAGCCUGCACUCUAGAGCCCGCGAGCCACAACUACUGAAACCCGUGCUCUGCGACAAGAGAAGCCACCGUAAUGAGAAGCCUGCGCACCACAAAGAAGAGUAGCCCCCACUCUCCGCAACUAGAGAAACCCUGCGCGCAGCAACGAAGACCCAACGCAGCCAAAAAUAAAUAAAUAAAUAAAUUUCUAUUAAAAAGAAAAAGAGCUGACAAUA